GAGGUAGGUGGCGGAGCCACUGAGCUAAAUCCCGGCCCUGGAAUUUUUAUUUAUUAAUGUUCAUUUGUCUGUUGUACUUGUUCUGGGUUAAGUAAGAUGUACAGAAAAACUUCAUUUCUGUUCCAGGAAGCUUGCAAGUAGAAAAAUGUUUUCUUCUGUCUUCUGACUGCUUCAUUUCUCUGAACAAAGCAGAUUCACAGAGUGGACUUGUGAAGCAGCUGUUCUGUCCUGUUCAGGUGUCUUCUGGCAGCAUGGGCUCUGGUUCCGGGCCUGAGUGGCAGCACAUUCAGCUGGCAGGGGCAUCUCUCCCCUGGAUCACGUCGUGUUUGUCUACACAUGGCAGAUUUCUUGAGUUCCCUUAUCUCGGAAAUGGGAGUGAAAAUGCCGAAGAAUCUCCCUUGAGCACUCAGAAAAAAAUUAUAAAGUUAUUUCCAGAAGGUUAUGUAUGAUAAUGACUCUUCAGAGACAUCAAAAUUGUAAGGUAAUUUUAAAACUAACUCUGACAGUGUUUUAGAAAAAAGCUAGUCCCAUUCUGCCUACAUGGUGCUAACAUAUGGCACAGACCUCAUGAGCUACAUGAGUGGGUUGAAAUCAAGAUGCAGUUGGAGAGGAGCACAGUGACUCACUAGAUGAGACAGAUUUGGCCUUCUGGCAGGGCAGUGAGUCUGAGGCGGGAUUGGUGGCCGUGGAACAUGGCAGAUGUGAGCAGUUGAUACAAGACUAUUACGAAAAAGUCUGAGCCCUGGUGUUUAGAUGAGGUGCUCUAUCUGAUGUCACAGUCUCUCUGUGGCUUUAGAGCUCCCACCUCUUCCACAUCUGAAAUUAGGUUCAAACUCUGGAGAUGGGUAGAAGCCAUCUCUGCCCAGAGUACAUCACACACUGGCUUAGCUGCCAUAUGUAAGUUGCUGCUGCUACAUCCAAAAAUUUGUUGCCCAGUGUGGGCAGUGCUGCUGUGGGAAGGAAACAGAAAGGAGCUGUGAAAGAAUGAGAUUCCUUUCCUUUUCCUCUCUCCCAAUCCUCAGAGCAGUAGAGCGCUAUAUCAAGAGCACAAAGGGACUGGUUAAUGGAUUUUGAGAAUGAUUUUGAGAGUGUGAGGGGUUUUUUUUUGUUGUUGUUGUUGUUUUAAAGUCUCACCAUGUAGUUCAGGUUGGCCUUGAACUCACUAUGUAGCUAGCCUAGGCUGGCCUUGAGUUUGGGGCAGACCUUCUGUCUCACUUCCCAAGCGCUGAGAUUACAGACGUGCACAACCACACUGGCAGGAAGUGGGAAAACAGAUUUUUAAAAAUGUGUUUUUCAAUCCCUGUCUGCUUCGUCUGAGUACCUCCAAAAUGGGGUGCCUGUCAGGUGAGAUGACCUCUUUGUUGUUGCUGUCUCCAUUUUUUUUAAGACAGAGUCUCACCAUGUAGUGCAGGCUGACCUUGAACUCGAGACACUCCUAUCUCAGUCUUCUGAGUACAGGGAUUACAGGGGUGCACCACCAUGCCUGGCAUAACCUCUUGUUUAGAUACAUGUAUGAUAGUCAUGGAAAUAUCAUAUAACAAAACGACAAUCCAGGGAGGAAGAAGAAUAAAGAGCUUAGCUCACCAUCAUCAUUCAGCUUUAGUGUGUAGCACUGCUUUUGUGCCAUUUCAGAAGAUUUAAUAAUUAUGUUGCCUUUGUGAAGUCAGUGUAGUUAUUGGUUGUAACGUACAGGUAAAGAUGCUAUUGGCAAGUCAAGCUUUAAUCCAUUUUCAGCUCUGAUCCUUAGAGUUAGCUGCUUAUACGAAAAUGUUUAUGAAGUGAAAAAGGUCAGUUGUGCAGUAAUAAACACAGUGUGAUACUACAUUUGCUAAUAUUACGUAUUUGAGUAUGUGUAGAUCUUAAUACAUGUGUAGAGAAAUUCUGAUUGGAAAUAACACAAAAUGUGGUUCUGUAUAAAAACAAAUAAAUAAAAAAUUUAAAUUGAUGAAGGACAAAAUGAAUAAGUACAACUGCUGUUUAAAAAAGAAAAGUGGGGACUGCACAUGAUGUUUUUUAUCAAAAUGUCUACAAUUUCAAGGAGAGUAAAAACCAGAAAGUGCAGAUAUUUAUGCUCGGAUAUGUCUCAUUUUUUAAAAAUGUUCAUUUGGUGCAGUGGUGAGUGCUUGUAGCUACCCAGAAGGCUAAGGUGGAAGGAAGGCUCAUUUGUGCCCAGGAGUUAGAGGCCAGCCUAGGAAACAUGGUGAGAUGCUGUCUCAAAAGAAAAGAAAAGCUGUGUAUGUGUAUGUGUAUACAUAUAUGUGUGUGUGUGUGUGUGUGUGUAUGUACAUGUAUGCUUUUUUUUUAAGGGAGAGAAAAAGUUCAUGACAUGGAAGCUUUGUAGAGCAGAUAAUAAACUAAGGGACUUAGAUUAACAAUUGAAGGUCUAAUACCUGUUAUACAUAUACAGAUACAAAUACAGAAGAGGAUAGACUUGUUGCUAACAUGUAUAAUUUACAAAGUGGUAAUAAUUGGCAGCAUAGUUCAUUAACAAAAAUUGAAAACUAUUGUUAAAUUCUCCCAAGUAUAUUGCAUAUACAGUAGGGGUUGAAGCAGAAAACUGCUUAAAAAUCUGUUCAGAGAAAAUAUAAUAAUAGAUAACUUAGUGAUAGUGUAAUCUACUUCUAUCCUCUAAGGAUAGGAGAGAGUCAGAGAGAACCAUUCCAACAGUGCUGAGCCCCUGAGAGAAUUUGAUGAAAGUUAGGAAAGCUUAGUGUUCAUCUUCCCAUGGUUUAGCAUAAAGCAGAAUAGAGCUAAUAGCCCUCCUCUGACUUCAGAGAGAUCUGGGGCCACUGGAUUAAGAAUUCUGAUGAAGCUAGUUUUUAAAAAUUGCUUUUUAUAUUGCACAACAAUGUGAAUAUACUUAAUAUUAUUAAACUAUACGCUUAAAAGUGGUUAUGGUGGUUAAAUUUUAUCUUUCACAUGUAAAUUUCUUCUUCAUGUAAAUUUCUUUCUCCUCUACCUCCAUUUCUUUUCUUUUCUUUUUUGGUACCACAAUUAAUAAAAAGCUGAGAAGAAAAUUGUUGCCACUCCAGAAAGGAUGAGCUUACUGGCCAGUGUGGAGAAGGAGAUGAGAUUAGAUCUGUUGAUAAACUUCCCCACCAGGGUCAUGGAGAGGACACACAUAGAUGGCCAUUAGUCACUAAGGAGUCAGAAGGCUCAAACCGAGGCUUGAAUCGUGGCAUUAGACUAGCUGAGUAGCAGGAGAGCACACGUCAUAAGGAAAGGAAAGGGGUCCCUUGGGCUAGCCAGGGCAGCUUCCCAGCUAGUACUUUGAUCUGCUUACUUGGCUUUCUAGAGCAUAACAAUAGUGAACAUGCUUUCCACAGCAAAGAGCCCACUUGUUUUAUUAAGCUGCCACAUAGAAGGGAAGAGACAGAAGUAAAGGAAUUACAACCCGACUAAAAGAUAAAGCACACUUUUCCCCAAAUGACAUCUAUUACCCUUUGCGCCCUCUCUCUGUCUCUGUCUCUCUCUGUCUCUCUCUCUCUCAUGCUCGUCCCCCCCUUUUGGUACUGGGGAUCGAACUCAGGACCUUGCACUUGCAAGGCAGGCGGCAGCACCACUGAGCUAAGUCCCUAGCCUAUUUCUUAUCUCUUUCCUCUUCCAGUUAAAAGUUUUGUAUUGGCUUGAUUAUAUUCUGGGCAUCUACUUACUCCCUUAGCCCUUUUAAGAUACAUAAUUGAGGUUUUUUUACAGGUAAGGAAGCUGACACCUAGAGGAACAAAUUAACUUCUUGUAAGUCACACCUCUACCAGGUAGCAGCAGGAGUUCUCACUGCCCUUAAUCAUGUUUCUGGAAGAGUCUCUUGUGACAGUUGAGACCUUGGGCAUUUACCUGUGUACUUCUAAGAUUUGCCUUGGAAGGACAGCCAGAUUAAACUUCCUGCCCUUCGGCAUUUAUACAGUCUUUUCGGUUAUUUAUGUGCAUGAACGUCCUUGGAGAUGCGUUUUAUUUGUUUAUGUUUUGAACCGAGGGCCUCAUCCAUGCUAGAUGCACACUCUGCCACUGAGCUACAACCCCCCUGAUAAUUUUUAACCUAAAGCAGCCUUUCACUGAGUGGCCCAACUGCCCGGCUUUAUCUGCCAGCUCCUUUCAUUUUCCAGAUCCUGUGAUCUUGAGGGAAUUAGGCCAUCUCUUUGUGUUGGAGAUCGGGUGGAUAUAAGAAUGAAAUAUAAAGCAUCCAGAACAGGACAGGGGAUAGAGUGAGUGCUCAGAGACUGCUAGCUCCUGUUUAUUGCCUAUUUGGAAAUAACUGGACAUGUCUCCCACCUUCACUUGGUAAGGAUGUAGAAACUUUAGAUACCAUGUGUAGUUAUUACCAUUAAUAUUCAUUAAUGUAAAGAUAGAGAAAUGUGCUGCUCAACAACCAUUCAUUUCAAAGCUGAAUAUAAAAUUGGUGAAUGCUCUAUUUGUUUUGAAUUAUCCAUGUUUUCACAUUUUUCAGGAGACCUGGUAGCCUAGGAACCAGAAGAAACAAACGGUUGUUGCCUGCCUCACUUCCAUGUUUAGGGGAAGAACACUUCAGGUUUUAAAAACUUCUAAACUAUAUAGUUGUCAGGUUCUUCAUUACCUCCUGUCUUAAUCAGAAAAGUUUUUCAAGGAAUUAUUCAUAGCACUUACUAGCAGUAGAGAGACUUGCUGAGGAGGCCAAGGCCUCUCUGGAGUUUGUGACCCAGUGCCUGCUGUGCAAGAGCUGCUGCUGGUGACUAAGUCAGGGGCCAUCUCCCUGGAAGGACUGAGUUUUGUCAUAUACUAAGCUUAUAACUAUAUAGAUUAGCAAAAGCCAGGAAGCUGGGCAUGGAGACACAUGCCCAUAAUCCCAGUAUUUUGGGAGGCUGACAUAGGAUUGCAAAUUCAGGCCCAGCCUGGACAAUUUAGGGAUUUCAAUCCUGUUUAAAGAAAAGAAAAGGAAAAAGCUGAGGAUGAUGAUUGCCCACCUAUAAUCCCAGCAUUUGGAAGGCUGAGGCAGGAGGAUUGCCUUGAGUUGGAGGCCAUCUAGGCUACAAUACAUAGUGAGUUCAAGGCCAGCCUGAAAUACAUAGCAAGACAAUGUCUGGAAAGUAAAAUAAAAUCAAACAACAAAACACAACUGAGAAAGGGUUAAUUACCUUACCUCCUCUAAGGAAAGCAUAUCUGAGAGCUUUUGUAUUGAGUGCAAUUUAAAACUUCAUUUAAGGUCUUACUUUAAACCUGUUAACAUUUAUUACAAGCAAACAAUGCUGUUGUUAACCCUGGGCAAGCUUUCCUGUCAGCCCUCUCCCUGCCUUUUGGUGAUCUCCCCUUUCCCCUCUUGGCCUGGCCCCCCUGAGUGACAAAGAGAGGUGGAGAUGAUGUUCAUAGGAACAGGAGUGGGGGGGGGCACACGGAAAUACAAUGCAAACACCAUCCAGGCUUCACAGAGCGGUGCACUUUUGUUUCCCAGAGAAAUAAAAGAUGUAAAAAAUUCAGACCUAAAAAUGUUCAUUUCCAUCCAGGUUGGCCUCGAACUCACUGUGAUCCUCCUGCCUCAGCCUCCUGAGUACUGGAAUUACUGGUGUUCAGCACCAUGCUUGGCCCCUUUUGGAUUCUAGAAAUUUUGGGGGGGAGUGCUGGAGAUUGAACUGAUGGGCUUGAGCGGUGCAUAUGCUGAGCAUGUGCUGUGCCACUGAGCUACUUCCCAGCUCCCUCCGAGUAAACUUUCCAUGCAGUAUGCAAAUCUAAGUCAAUAGUUUUAGGCUUUUUGUGUGUGCAUGUGGAGCUGCACAUUGAAUCCAGGGCAUUGUGCAUUUUAGGCACAUCAUUCUACCACUGAACUGUAUCUCCAGCCUUUUUAAUUUGGGGCGGGUAGCAGAGAUUGAACUCGGGACCUUGGGUUUGCAAGACAGGCGGCAGAACCACUGAGCUAAAUCCCUGGCCUCUUAAAUUUUAUUUUGAGAUAGGGUCUCACUAAGUUACCCAGGCAGGACUCAAAUUUGCGAUUUUCCUGUCUCAGCCUGCCAACUAGCUGGGAUUACAGGCACACCACUGUUCCAGUCUAGUUUUUUUGUUAGUAUAGAUUUUGCCUUAAACUCAAGUGUCAUGCUUUAUUAUCAAAAUUCCGAAACAUAAUUCAGUCCAUAUGAAAAGCCAAUUAAAUAUUUUUGUGUGUGUGAGAUACAGGGGAUUUAACCCUGGGCUGCAUCCCCAGCCCUUUUUUACUUCAACACAGGGUCUCACUAAGUUGCUAAAUUGCCUAUGUUGGACUCAAACUUGUGAUCGAUCCUCCUUCCACAUCUUCCCAAACCAAUUAAACACAUCCACACCUACUUUUUUUUUUUUGGUACGGGGAUCCAACUCAGGACUUUUUGCUUGCGAGGCAGGCGCCGGAACCACUGAGCUAAAUCCUCAGCCCUACACCUACUUUAUUGAGAAGCACCUUGGUCUUCAGGGCGUGUGGGUUGGUCCACAGUUCCUUUGGGUCUUGUCUGGUGGUGCACUUCAGAGCUCUGACACUUCCCAGCUUAGGGGUCGCCCUGAGUGAAUGGAGCAUUUGUGUCUCUGGCUAGAGCCAGGCAGAGAGAGGUACAGCUGGUUGAGCUGUAAAUGGAAGUUUAUAGGAAUUGGAGCAGCUUCAUAGAAUCAGUCUUUACUUGCAAGACUGUUCAGUAAUGUUUAAAAAUAAAACGAAUUGGUUUUGUGGGUCGUCUCUUUGCUUUUACCUUCAAUUAACUUCCUCAUUUUCUGAUUCUUUUGGUUUUGGUGGUUUACCACGAUCCCAGGGCCAAGAUGCAUUUACAGAGGCAGGAACUUGGUUGCCUUUGAAGAGUUUCAAACCCUGCACCUACAUGUUCUCUGCUCUGGGGAGAUCGUGUGGAGAAUGGCACUUUAAGAAUGUAAUCCUGAUUGUUAAAAGAAUUACACACCUUUUGGCGUUUUUAUAACUGUCCCAAAGCACAUGUUAAAAAUGAUUGUUUUGGGCCAGGGAUUUAGCUCAGUGGUGCUGGUGCCUGCCUGGCAAGUGCAAGGUCUGGAGUUCGAUCCCCAGUACCCGGAAAAAAAAGAUUAUUUUGAUGACCCAGAUGUACAGAAUUCACCCUCAUAAAUCUUAGUCAUUGUUCUGCUAUUUGGUGAGACAUUUAGGGGAAAGCACCCCCCCCCCCAACC
ensembl:lncRNA